UUUAAAUCAACCCCGCCCAUCCUUCUCAUCUCCUAACCAAAGGAACCCCCCAAAAUCCGUCGUUUCCCGCGUGAUCCCUCGGUAACUUGGGGAGAAAUCCACGGCCGCAAAGAGCACCUCGUUUCCCAUGUGAUCAUCUCCGACUACCUCAAAUCCCUCGGCAUCAUCCCCGACGAGCUCGCCCCCAUCGAGCUCCCCUCCACAAUCGACGUCAUGAGAGAGCGAAUAGAGUUCUUGACCAAGCUCGCCCUCACCGUCGGACUUUCUUAGGGGGAGGGGGUUUUCCGAUGGAGAUGUGGCUAGAAUGGUUGUCAAGUGCCCGUAGUUACUUGUGCUUCGAGUUGAGGUGAUGAAGAACACUUUUUACUUCGUUAAAAGUGAGAUGAGAAGGUUGCAGGGUGAUUAUAUUGAAGGAGAGACUAUGGGGCCUUCGUUUGUUAUGGGUGGGAAAUUGGAUAUGCCUGGGAACGAAAUGGUAUCUGAUGAAGAGGACGAUGAGAGUGAUAGUGUGGUGCUCUUUAGGCUGGUGCUGGCUAUAUCUCUAAGUUAUAUACUUCACAUUUUUUUUAUAAUGAAAGGAACUGAUAAUUUGAAUAACAAGCAUUAAUGUAACUAAUAAGCUACAUUCUAGCAAUUUUGGUCUGGUACUAUUUCUGCUGUUUUAGGCUUCGUAGCCGCCAGCUGCUCAGUGAAAUGCCCGUUCGGCAAACGAAGAAGGUGGGCGUCUCUACGUCCGACGAGUAUGGAGCCUUAUCAGGUAAGGCUUCGACAGGCCCUUUUAUGUCGGGUGAGAUUCACGGGUUUGUCGAGGCUCUGGUGGCGUACAGGUUCUCGGAUUUCUUCACAUGAGGAAUUCUUCACAUGAGGCAUUACUUCUUGCUUUCUUCUUAUAGAAUAAUCAGUCCUUAUCUCUAGCUAAAUGAUUCAUGAGGAGCCCAUUACUCAUUUUGAAUGAUCAUCUUUCUAUAAAAUAAUUGCACACUCGACAUUCAUGCUUAGUAGAAAACGUUGAUGAUUAAGUUCUUGAAUAAUUAUGACAUUGUUGUUAAGAAUGGGAAGUUUCUUUAACUGAUUCUAUACUUUCAGUUGUUUCUUUAAAUUCUUGCAGGUAAAAAACAGGAAGUCAUUGUUCCACCAAAAAGGAAAAAAGAGAGUGGCGACUCUAUUUCGUGACAAUUACAUAAGCUCGGUGCUCCAACUUUGGUGUCAACUUAAGGCUCACAACCUAUGGACAUGAAGUCUGAUACACCCACGAAGGAGAAUGCAGUUGCAAAAGUUGCUCUUGAGGAAAAUGAUGCGGUCAAAACCGAUAAAAAUGGUAAAGUUACCACAGAGGAGGAUGCUCAAUCUGCAUCGGAACCCCAGCUGAGGAAGAGAAAGACGAGCCUUCACAUUUAAUUACUAAAGGGGAUAUUGUCAGCCCCUAUUAGCUUUGUAUGGUAAAAGUUUGUAAACAAUUUAUAUAUCUCUCUAAUAUUUUGGUGAA